rnacentral:misc_RNA from 1 species
AAGUCGUAACAAGGUUUCCGUAGGUUAUUAACACGUAUCCAACGUUAAACCCCUGUGAACUUUUAUACUUGCUCUCUUAACUGACGGAAUUGCAAUCCCUGGUAAAUCAUUGUUGAACAGAUUUUGAUUCAGGGACCUCAGUUUGGCAGUUAGGAUUGAGCGAUCGUUGCAAGUGGCCUGGUUUCCCCAAGCAGUCAGUGUCUGAAAGUGGCAUUGAUUGUGUAAGGAUAACGCUUUUCGAUCACUAGAGGCCGACACCGGCCGGUGACCAGGUCGCCGUGGCUUCGGCCCCCUAUAUUAACCCCACUACCUGAUUCCGCCUCGUAGGAAACUGCUGGGCAACAAAACGAACAAUGUCACUC